ACUCUAGUAUUGACCUCAAUCUACAUGUAUUGAGGUGGAUUGGGGGUGUAACUUAAACUAAUUUACACCUCAAUCCACCUCAACACAUGUGGAUUGGGGGGUCAAUACUAGA
rnacentral:pre_miRNA from 1 species